rnacentral:rRNA from 1 species
AUGCGGCGGGAAGAAGUGGCAUUUAGAAGUGUUACUGACUUUACAUUUAGGUUUCGACAUAACAAAACUUGCACUGUCUUUUCACACUUAGGCACACAGCGUGGCGUUGGUAAUGAUUCUACUACGGUGCUGCAAAUUCGCAAGCUGAUCCUAAGUAAUCGUUGUUGUUCAUUGGAUUCCUCCGGAAUUACUUCGUUACGAUUGAAGAAUUGCAACAAUUCUUCCUGA